CCCGCCGAACCCUUCUCCUUCACUUGAAACCCAACAAAACAAGCCUCCACCUCUCUCAAAUUUCUUCAAAUCUCAUCUCAAAUCCAGUGAAUGUCUCCCCUAUUGACUCUUUAGGAUUGAAAUCACUUAUUUUUGAAGCUUCUCUCAAGCCCUAAAACCCUUUCCUCAUCCAGUGAAAAUUGUUGUUUCUUCUUCUUCUCACCUCAAAGCUCCUUCCAUCAAUUUUCUUCAAUUAUCCAACAUUCCCUACCCUUCUUAGCCGAGUCAAGCUCUCUAUCCUCUCAUGGCACUGAGAAUGGAUCUCCCUCAAU
rnacentral:lncRNA from 1 species